rnacentral:rRNA from 1 species
CUACGGGUCGCACCAGUGAGGAAUAUUGCGCAAUGGGGGAAACCCUGACGCAGCGACGCCGCGUGAGUGAGGAAGGCUUUCGAGUCGUAAAGCUCUGUCAGAAGGGAAGAAAUGCAUGGUGGUUAAUAUCCAUUGUGUUUGACGGUACCUUCAAAGGAAGCACCGGCUAACUCCGUGCCAGCAGCCGCGGUAAUACGGAGGGUGCAAGCGUUGUUCGGAAUUACUGGGCGUAAAGGGCGCGCAGGCGGUUUGUUAAGUCAGAUGUGAAAGCCCAUGGCUUAACCAUGGAAGUGCAUUUGAAACUGGCAGACUUGAGUAUCGGAGGGGAAAGUGGAAUUCCCGGUGUAGAGGUGAAAUUCGUAGAUAUCGGGAGGAAUACUUGUGGCGAAGGCGACUUUCUGGCCGAAUACUGACGCUGAGGCGCGAAAGCGUGGGGAGCAAACAGGAUUAGAUACCCCAGUAGUC